GAACGCUGGCGGCGUGCCUAAUACAUGCAAGUAGAACGCUGAAGAGAGGAGCUUGCUCUUCUUGGAUGAGUUGCGAACGGGUGAGUAACGCGUAGGUAACCUGCCUUGUAGCGGGGGAUAACUAUUGGAAACGAUAGCUAAUACCGCAUAACAAUGGAUGACCCAUGUCAUUUAUUUGAAAGGGGCAAAUGCUCCACUACAAGAUGGACCUGCGUUGUAUUAGCUAGUAGGUGAGGUAACGGCUCACCUAGGCGACGAUACAUAGCCGACCUGAGAGGGUGAUCGGCCACACUGGGACUGAGACACGGCCCAGACUCCUACGGGAGGCAGCAGUAGGGAAUCUUCGGCAAUGGGGGCAACCCUGACCGAGCAACGCCGCGUGAGUGAAGAAGGUUUUCGGAUCGUAAAGCUCUGUUGUAAGUCAAGAACGAGUGUGAGAGUGGAAAGUUCACACUGUGACGGUAGCUUACCAGAAAGGGACGGCUAACUACGUGCC
rnacentral:rRNA from 1 species